GGAGGCGCUAACAUCGGCGGCGUGGAACGGUCUUGAAAACCGUACGUUCGAAAGGACGUGUGAGUUCGAAUCUCACCGCCUCCGC
rnacentral:tRNA from 5 species